AAACCCUCUUGGAAAGCAGGUGGAGGUUCUUCUUUGGGCCGAUUGUUAUGGGAAGAUAUUUGCUGUGUGUGUACAUGCAGGCUCAGAUGGCUGAAUGACGAGUAUUGGCAGGAUAUAACACAAAGCUUCCGGAUUAAUAGAUGUGUGGACUACCAGAAGACAACCAGUGGCUUUUAUGUCUCUGACAUCAUCAUAUCUGUGCUGCGAGGGACACAGAGAUUGUAUGGCAGGCAGAGUUCUGGUUCUGCGGCAAGUGGUCGGCUUUUUGCCUGCUUCCUGUAGCCUUGAAAGCCAAACUGAGGUAGCUGAAAGAAACCAUUCAACUCUCAACCACAAGAAAGCACAGAACGGAGCUGAACUUCCCCAAAGCCAUGUCCCAGAGGACUGUCUCUACUUGACCUGAGUGGCAGCUCGCUUCCAAGUUCUUUUCUUGGCUGCCUUUAUUUGAUCUCACUCAGAAUUGGUUCUGUGCAAACUAUUUCACACCUGAGGCAUUUUUCAAAAACAAUCGCAGGCGCCUGAGGGGGAAAAGGCAUUUGGAAGGAAGA
rnacentral:sRNA from 1 species